UCAUUUUCAUUCCACACGCUUUUUUUUUCCUCGACGCACACUCCUUUUCUUCCCAUCUCCUGAGCCCUCUCACUCCGAGAACCAAAAAUUCCCCGUCCGUGUUGCCAUCUUCUCUCGUUCUACUGUGCGUCCAUGGCAAGCAGAGAUGCAAAGGAUACGAGAAAAGGGCAAGGAGAAAAAGGAAAGCCAAGAGCAUAUUGGAGUGAUGCACAAACCAAAUUUCCUGUUUCCAUUAUGAAGGAGUAUCAUCUCUCAGCAACAACACCCACCAUGUGUACGCGCAUCCACACAGCCAGCCAGUUUUUAGAAGCGACGUAUUGCCAUCAAAAACUACAAGUAGCCAAACACGUCAUGGUUUUCAUAAAACAGAGAAAAACUCUACUUUGUAAAUACUAUGAUAUUACAUGGCUCUGUUUUUUAAAACUAUGGUUUCUCAAUUCUACAGUUUUAGAAAACUGCAACAUCCAAACAAGAUCGAAGUUGUAUGGCUCGUCAUCAUGUAUAUACUUAGUUUCAAGCGUUU